rnacentral:rRNA from 1 species
CAGCCGCCACGGGAAUACGAAGGGGGCUAGCGUUGUUCGGAAUUACUGGGCGUAAAGCGCACGUAGGCGGAUCUUUAAGUCAGGGGUGAAAUCCCGAGGCUCAACCUCGGAACUGCCUUUGAUACUGGGGAUCUCGAGUCCGGAAGAGGUAAGUGGAACUGCGAGUGUAGAGGUGAAAUUCGUAGAUAUUCGCAAGAACACCAGUGGCGAAGGCGGCUUACUGGUCCGGAACUGACGCUGAGGUGCGAAAGCGUGGGGAGCAAACAGGAUUAGAGACCCCCGUAGUCCCUGUCUCUUAUAC